rnacentral:rRNA from 1 species
GAUGAACGCUGACAGAAUGCUUAACACAUGCAAGUCUACUUGAACUUCGGUUUGGGUGGCGGACGGGUGAGUAACGCGUAAAGAACUUGCCUCACAGUUAGGGACAACAUUUGGAAACGAAUGCUAAUACCUGAUAUUAUGAUUUUAGGGCAUCCUAGGAUUAUGAAAGCUAUAUGUGCUGUGAGAGAGCUUUGCGUCCCAUUAGCUAGUUGGAGAGGUAACGGCUCACCAAGGCGAUGAUGGGUAGCCGGCCUGAGAGGGUGAACGGCCACAAGGGGACUGAGACACGGCCCUUACUCCUACGGGAGGCAGCAGUGGGGAAUAUUGGACAAUGGACCAAAAGUCUGAUCCAGCAAUUCUGUGUGCACGAUGACGUUUUUCGGAAUGUAAAGUGCUUUCAGUUGGGAAGAAAAAAAUGACGGUACCAACAGAAGAAGAGACGGCUAAAUACGUG